UACAGAGGGGGCAAGCGUUGUUCGGAAUUACUGGGCGUAAAGGGCGCGUAGGCGGUUUGCUAAGUUGAAUGUGAAAACUCUGGGCUUAACCCAGAGCCUGCAUUCAAUACUGGCAGGCUAGAGUUCUGGAGGGGAUAGCGGAAUUCCGGGUGUAGCGGUGAAAUGCGUAGAUAUCCGGAGGAACACCGGUGGCGAAGGCGGCUUCCUGGACCGACACUGACGCUGAGGCGCGAAAGCUAGGGGAGCAAACGGG
rnacentral:rRNA from 1 species